rnacentral:rRNA from 1 species
AGUGAACGCUGGCGGCAUGCCUAACACAUGCAAGUCGAACGGACUUUGGCAGUGUAUCGUCAAGGUUAGUGGCAAACGGGUGAGUAAUACGUGAAUAACCUCCCUUCGAGUGGGGGAGUAACUCCGGGAACCGGAGCUAAUACCGCGUGAGACCACGUCCUGGCAUCAGGAUGAGGUUAAAGUCCCGCAAGGGACUCUUGAAGAGGGAGUUCACGGCCUAUCAGCUAGUUGGCGGGGUAACGGGCCCACCAAGGCUACGACGGGUAAGCGGUCUGAAAGGACGACCGCUCACAAUGGCACUGAGACACGGGCCAUACUCCUACGGGAGGCAGCAGUGGGGAAUUUUGCGCAAUGGGGGAAACCCUGACGCAGCAAUGCCGCGUGGAGGACGAAGGUCUUCGGAUUGUAAACUCCUUUUGCGGGGGACAAAUAGCGGCGUGAAUAACGCCGACUGAUGGUACUCCGUGAAUAAGCCACGGCUAACUUCGUGCCAGCAGCCGCGGUAAUGUCGUC